rnacentral:rRNA from 1 species
CUUGGUCAUUUAGAGGAAGUAAAAGUCGUAACAAGGUUUCCGUAGGUGAACCUGCGGAAGGAUCAUUAUUGAAAUAAACCUGAUGGGUUGUUGCUGGCUCUCUAGGGAGCAUGUGCACGCCUUGUCAUCUUUAUAUAUCCACCUGUGCACUUUUUGUAGACCUGAAAAGGUCUAUGUUGCUUCAUUUUACCCCAAUGUAUGUCUAUAGAAUGUUGUGCCUAUGAUAAUAUAUACAACUUUCAGCAACGGAUCUCUUGGCUCUCGCAUCGAUGAAGAACGCAGCGAAAUGCGAUAAGUAAUGUGAAUUGCAGAAUUCAGUGAAUCAUCGAAUCUUUGAACGCACCUUGCGCUCCUUGGUAUUCCGAGGAGCAUGCCUGUUUGAGUGUCAUUAAUAUAAAUCAACCUUUAACUUGUUUGAGUGGUUUGGAUGUGGGGGUUUGCUGGCCUUUCUAAAGGUUUCAGCUCCUCUGAAAUGCAUUAGCAGAACAAACCUUGUUCAUUGGUGUGAUAACUAUCUACGCUUAUGAAUGUGAGGGGCAGUUCAGCUUUCUAAUCGUCUUUGGACAAUUCAUCAUUAAUGUGACCUCAAAUCAGGUAGGACUACCCGCUGAACUUAAGCAUAUCAAUAAGCGGAGGA